rnacentral:rRNA from 1 species
AAUCAACGCUGGCGGCGUGCCUCAGACAUGCAAGUCGAACGCGAAAGUCUCCUUCGGGGGAUAAGUAGAGUGGCGCACGGGUGAGUAACACGUAGGUAAUCUACCUUCGGAUGGGGAAGUAACAACCGGAAACGGUUGCUAAUACCGCAUAAUGCAGCGGCACCUAAUGGUGACAGUUGUUAAAGCGGGGGAUCAAAGACCUCGCGUCUGAAGAGGAGCCUGCGGCGGAUUAGCAGUUGGUAGGGUAAUGGCCUACCAAGGCGACGAUCCGUAGCCGGCCUGAGAGGGCGGUCGGCCACACUGACACUGACAUACGGGUCAGACUCCUACGGGAGGG